rnacentral:misc_RNA from 1 species
AUUGCCGAGUGAAAGGUGAAAACAAGCAAGAUGGCGGGUGUUUGCAGGCUGGCAAGGGUGACCAUGUCACCCUUGAUUAGACAAGCGGUUUCGAAUUUUAGGUGUGUCAGCACGACAGGAGUGACACACAAGCAGUUUGCUGAGUCUGCUGACUUUCAGGAUGAUGAAAGGAGGAGUUGGCUGAAGAACCUGCUUCGUGUCCGAACACUUCCCACUAGCUCCGAGUCUCACUCCAGUCAACUCUCAAGUAAAGAAACAGUCUAUGAGAUUCAGUUUCAUGCAGUGAAACCAGAAUCUAUGGAAGAUUAUUUAAAUCAGUUCCAAGAGUUUGAGGAGUUGUUGAAGAAGAAAGAUGCGGGUCAAAGUCUUGUAGGUAGCUUCACUGUGGAAAUUGGUGACCAGGAUGAAGCAAUUCACAUAUGGGCAUUCAAGGGAGGCUACCCUGUACUCAAUAGAGCAAAUCAGAUCUACAGAACAGACCAAGAUUUCAUAAAAUUUCGCAAGAAUCGCAACAAGAUGCUGCGAUCGAGGAGGAACCAGAUCCUGCUUGCUUUUAGUUUCUGGCCUGAGCUCAAACCCAGAGAAGGCAAAAGCAUUUACGAACUCAGGAGUUAUGUCCUUAAGCCGGGAACUAUGAUUGAGUGGGGCAAUAACUGGGCCCGAGGAAUCCAAGCCCGUCAAACUAACAAUGAACCAGUAGCAGGGUUCUUUUCACAGAUGGGAGAACUGUAUAACGCUCACCAUAUCUGGGGGCGAGAGGGAUAAAGUACCGACAAGCUAGUAACUCCCCUGUUGCCGGCUUCUUCUCCCAUCUUGGAGAGCAGUAUAAUGUACAUCACUUGUGGGGCUAUAAGGACCUGCAGACCCGCAAGGAGACGAGGGAGGCAGCAUGGAGUCGGCCCGGCUGGGAUGAAUGUGUGUCCUAUACAG